GAGGCGCUAGUGUAUUUUACUCAUAUUAUGGUAAAUUUAUUUGAAAGUGUUUGCUGUGAGUUUUGACAGAUUCCUAACGUCAAUCCUCAAUGAUCAUUGAUUUGUUUUCGUCGUUGCUUGCUCAAUUGCUUUCGUCGUUCGGUCCGGUCUGGUCGCGAAAAAAGUGAAAAUCGACGAUUGUGGAAAAAUUUGCGUCUCAUUCCGGGAAGUACCGGUGGAAUCUGUGUUAUCGUUACGUUUCGGUAACACUUCAGGAAUUUCUUAGGGAGAAUUCUUCUGAAAGUCCUCCAUGAAAUCCAUCGUAGUCCUCCGGGAAAUCCAAUGAGAAGUCCUCCAUGAAAUCCUCCGCGAAAUCGUUCAUGAAAUUCUGCGGGAAGUCCUCCAGGAAAUUCUUCGCGAUGUCCUUCAAGAAAUUCUGCGUGAAGUCCUACAAGAAAUCCUUCGGGUUAAAUGCUAAUUUCACCAGGGAUUGAGAUCAACGGAGAAAAUUUAAUGUACCUGUCCGACCAGGAGAAUGCUUACGAGAUGACGAGAGAAACAUAACAUUCGUUUCGGCUUUUGGGUAAGGAGAAACUGAAAUACCGUAAAAGGGUCCCCAGAAUGAAGAGCGCAGCAGCGAGUUUUAACAGUAAGUCAAAGCCUGCCGCUGCCACUGCGCUAACCAUGCUGGAUGGACCGGAACCUCACCGAAGUUGCAACAGCUUAGAACGCCGAUAUCCGAGGAGCAGCAAAGAUGUUUGCGAACGCAAAUCUAUGGGCAGCCCGCAAGCUGUCGUGUCGUUCGGGAGUGAAAUCUACGAUGCCGGAUACCUGAAAUUAAUCAACGAACAAUCCACCUCUACGUUGGCUGGGUCUUACGUACACAGCAAGGAGAAGAAUAAAAAACCCUUGGCAGUGGGCUCUGGUCAACCACUACAAGCAAGCAGGCCCUAUCAAAGCGACCGUGUGUCACUCAAAGCGCACAGCAACCGCAUAGCACAGUCGUCAGUCGUGCGAGUUAUUAUUCAUCGAAGCUUGCACAGGACUUCACAGGACGCCUCUGGAAAAAGGAGCAUCACAAGGAAUGUUCGUUGGAUGCUUUGCCGAUACGGCCACGGUUAGGAUUCGCUUUGCCUGUUAAGGACAGGAGAUCUCCCUCGUAUUUCUGAUGGAACCGGAGACCAAGCUGUUCUCUGCUAACCUUUUUGAAGCCACAAGCAAACCUCCAAACCUAGGUAGUACUCCAAGUUACUUAGCCGUUUGUCAGCUGCAGUUCUUCCAACGAGGUUGACGGUUGAGAUGAAUCUCGUGCACAACCGUGAUCCGAUCGGCGUCUCCAUUAAAAAUAUGUUCUUGCCGUUGGUCAAGCUUAUUGACAGACUAUCGAACGCUACCUACAUUUCUUGCGCUUCUGUGUUUGGGUCAUCGAUGAAAGCGUUGAGGAGAACGCCAAUCUUGUCAUUCGUCUGUUGAUCCGACGUACGGAAUGCUUCGGUUCUGCGCUUCGUGGUGAAGGUUUGAUGAAGGCUAUCAACGAAGCCAACAAGAUGUCCGAAAAGAUUUCAAGGCGUAGGAAGAAGCAGGAUGAGGCAGAAGAUACGAUCACUGGUCUAGGCUUCUCGCAUCCUCUUUCAGAGAGAUAGACGACGACAAAGAUUACAUGGAUACCAGAGCUGUCGUUCUGUGCUUCUAUUGAACACUGGUGGAUACGUUGUGCACCGGAUGCAUCGGUGAUCAAACAAGGCAAAAACGAAUCAUUGCGAGCUCUGCCAUUCUACGCUCCUUGUAACCGUCGGAAGAUUUUUGAGUAGUUCUGGUUUUGUUAACAUUGACUAACACGGCGAAGGAAGGCCAAAGUCCGACAAAGUCCGCGGUUCCAAAUGGCUCCAGUGAAGCCGGUGGACCCCUUCCAAACAAUUCAAACAACAAUGACGUCGGCGUGCGUACACCCGCUUUCAAUGAUUCCUGCGAUCGACGCUUCUGGACGGACCCGAAGGGUGAAUUCGAGAGCAAUGUUGUAAAUACAGAGCCCUAACUGAUGGGUAAAAACGCAGCCGGUGCGACCAGACUUCCAUAGCGAUGCUCACUUCCAUAGCAAUCUCCAGUUCACAUUAAUCUGCCAACGUUUCCAACACUGCCGUAAUAAUAAAUUACCUUAAUUAUUACGAAUACAUAUUUUAGGAUCACUUAAAAACGAACUUUUGAUAGGAAGUCCGGAAAUCCAUUAUACAUCAAUCGACUCAGCUCGAAAAAUUAAUUGAUUGGUGUAUUGCCUAAUUGAUUGCUAAGUUGCUUGAUUGCUUUAUUAGUUGGUUGGUUGCUUGAUUGAUUCGUAGCUUGCUUGAAUGGUAUGGUAUGAAUGGUGGGUUGCUUGAUUCGUUGACUGGUUUGUUGGUUGCUUGCUUGAUUCGUUAGUUGGUUGAAUGAUUGAUUAGUAGGCUGGUUGGUCGGUAGAUUGGUGAGUUGGUCGAUUGGUUGGUUGAUUGGUAGGUUUCUUGAUUGGUUAGUUGGUUGAAUGGUUGAUUGGUUGGCUGCUUGAUUGGUUGAUUUUUGGUUGUUUGCUUAAUUGGUUGGUUAUUUUGUUGAUUGGUUGGUCGGCUGGUUAGUUGAUUAGUUGUUUUGUUGGUUGCUUGAAUGGUUGAUUGAUUAGUUGGUUGGUUGAUUGAUUUGUUAGUUGGUGAAAUGGUUAUUUCCUUGAUAAGUUAGUUGGUUGAUUGGUAGCUUGUCUGAUUGGAAGAUUGGCUAUUGGUUGCUUGAUUGAUUGGAAGCGGGUUAGAAUGAUUGUUUAGUUAGUUACUUGAUUCGUUUGUUGUUUGGUUGAUGGCUGGUUGAUUAGUUGCUUCAUUGGAUAAUUGGUAUCCUGAUUGAUUAGUUGGAUGAUUGGUAGCUUACUUGAAUGGUUGAAUUAUUGGCUGGUUGCUUGAUUUGUUAGUUGGUUGCUUGAUUGGUAGCUUGCUUGAAUGGUU